rnacentral:rRNA from 1 species
UACAGAGGGUGCUAGCGUUGUUCGGAAUCAUUGGGCGUAAAGGGCGUGUAGGCGGUUUGUUAAGUCAUGUGUGAAAUCCCUCGGCUCAACCGGGGAACGACGCAUGAAACUGGCAGCUAGAGUACCGAAGAGGGGGGGUGGAAUUCCCGGUGUAGCGGUGAAAUGCGUAGAUAUCGGGGAGGAACACCUGUGGCGAAGGCGGCCCCCUGGUUGGAUACUGACGCUGAUACGCGAAAGCGUGGGGAGCAAACAGGG